AUCCUCAAUCCUGUAACUUGCACCAUGGUCUUAACUCCAGCUGUUGUUGUGAUCGUCUAGGGUGCUAUAACCUGAAUGUGAUGGUGGCAAAAAAUCCGAUUUUUUUCUAGAUAUUACUAUCUUCGGAGGGAGGGCAAUUGCUCAAUUUUUCCAAACUGAUUAGACGUCAGCCCACGUGAUAAAUGAGCAAAACUAUUCCUAACAGGGAGCAAAUGGGAGGAUAGGUCAAAUUUCUUAUUCCCAAAGGCACAUAAAAUCAGAGGCGAAUCUCCGUAUAGUUUGGGUGGUGCAACGACACUGGAGUGAUUUUUUUUUUACCAGUAGCAUGCUCAUAUCGACUAUAUAAAUUUGUAUAUGUUAUUAAACAUAGAGCGAAUUGACAUCAGUGUCAUUUCAGCUUAAGCUUCGUCCCUGAUAAAAUUUCUAUUUUCUCGGAGUUUCUUCGACAGUUACUGUUGUCUGCCAUUUCAUGUGCUGGAUUGGUGACUCAUCAGACACUGCACCGAUGGUAGCAGAUGCAUAUAGUCAUAUAAAAGUCUCCUCUCUUUGGAUCAUGUUCAGCCACAACAGCAAACGUAGGAUGGAUCCUGAACAAGAAGACCUCAUGGAUGUCUAGACGCAGGGAAAAAGAGGCAAGAGACGUCUACUGGCGACGUGGUGCAUGGUUGGUCAGUGCAGCCAAGUACAGAGUGGUUGACAUGGGUGCAAGAAAAUCUGGACCUGAUCAGGCUUGUCUCCAUGAACCUAACUCGAUCUAGUGUCCAUAUUAGCCGCUUUUCUGGCGCUUGAGAUUGUUUGGAAGAACAUGGACCUCUCCCUGAAGAUGCAUGCAGCUAUUGGGGAUGAGAUGCAGAGGCGUGUGAAGACGUUGGACAAUCGAUUGGCUAAUCUGAACACGGGAGGAUAUUUUUCAUAUGCAGAUUGCUCGGCUAAUCUGAACUACGGAGGUUGCUUUUCAUAUGCAGAUUAUUUUUCAUUUUUCCCGUGGUUAGUAACUUCUUUACCCAUGUGUUAUUUACUUUUCCCCAUGGUGCUAGUAAGUACUAGGUAUUUACGUAUUUACCUUUGUAUUUUCUCUGAUAUGGAGUAUUUCAUAAGCAACUAAAUUCACUUGUUCUAAUGGGCAUCAUCUUCCCACCUUACUCAAGCUUGAUAGAGUCUCGAUGAAUUCUCAGUAAAUGAAAAGAAUGGAGGUAAGUGAGAUACUGAUGGCAGACAGGAAGGGCACCUCGAUGAAUUCUCUUUUGCCAUGCUGUAGCAAGCGGAACUGAGGUUUUUAUAUUGCUAAUGUGUGAAAAUGGGACACUACGGAAAUAUUAGCUGAAUCAGAAUUCAUAAGGGUAAUGCUAACCAUCAGAUUGUCUCCAUCUCUGAAUUAGGAAGCUAAUGUUAACAAUCAGGACUUUAGAGGCCACACUGGUAAUGUUAACCAUCAGAUCGGUAUCUGGAUCAGGAGCCAGGAGGCUAAUGUGAACCAUCAGAACUUCAGAAGCAUUCCUCAAUGGCUUCAAUCGCUGGAGCAGAGGGCACUGCUGCUGUUGGGAACUGAAAUCAUGGAUGAUCUCGCUUCAUUCAUGAACAAAUGCAGAGUGGAGAUAAGCAACAAUACUCCUGGUGCGAUCAUGUACUGUACCAACUAAUGGAAUCUAGCUGCAAGUAUUUUUAGGCCCAGUUUGUUUCAGCUUUUAAUUUUGGAUUCUGCCCCAUGAUAAAAAGGUAAAACAAACACGCUGAUUCUAGAAGGCUGAUCGUGAGAUUAGCUUUUGAUGUGAAUGAAAGCGAUUCUGAUAAUCAAAAGCUGUUUUUAUAACUAAGAAUCCAAAAGUUGGCCAUAAGGUCCUUUUGUAGAUUUUGAAUGACCAUGUUUUAAA